GGACAAGAAAAGCAUGCUCACAAAGUUGUGUAGGCUCACUCUGCGCACGGUGUGAUAGUUGCAAUAUCAAUUAUGCUCCCCAGCUUCCAAGAAACAGCUGACCACAAGGAUGAAACUUGUGUGGGAGGAAGAGGGAGCUUGUUGGCAGCUGGCCUCAGAUGCAGGAGUCGCUGCCACAGGAGGACAGAAUUCACUCUGUAUUCAAGCGGAGCACAUCGGCGCUGUAUGUGAAUUCUAAAUCAGCAUUAAGCAGUGGCUCUUUCCCAGGAGAGAAGAACAUGAGUGCCUCAGAGACAAAAACUCCAUGCUGCAGCAGGUCCAGAUAACCAGGAGUUGGACUGGCACAGGACACAGCCACAAUGUCAGCUAAAUGGGAUUGCUGCCUGCAUAGAUUUGGCCUUUAGAAAUGUUUGAAUGAACACAAGAAAAUGGGAAUUAAAUUAUAUAAACCAUUUAAUAUCUGUUAUAUUUUUUGACUUUUAAAAAGUAAAAAAUGUGUUCUUCUACCAUUCACAGGUCAUCUCAUUUUGCAUGAAGAUUUAUCAAAUAAAAAACUAUACCAAACAAUAGAUCUCUGAAAA
rnacentral:lncRNA from 1 species